AAUAUUGGUCAAUGGACGGAAGUCUGAACCAGCCAUGCCGCGUGGAGGAAGAAGGUCCUCUGGGUUGUCCACUCCUUUUGUACGAGAGUAAUAAGGUCCUUGCGAGGGCCGAUGAGAGUAUCGGGCGAAUAAGCAUCGGCUAACUCCGUGCCAGCAGCCGCGGUAAUACGGAGGAUGCGAGCGUUAUCCGGAUUUAUUGGGUUUAAAGGGUGCGCAGGCGGCGCGUUAAGUCAGCGGUGAAAUCUCCCGGCUCAACCGGGGAACUGCCGUUGAUACUGGCGUGCUAGAGUACGGACGGCGCCGGCGGAAUGUGUCAUGUAGCGGUGAAAUGCUUAGAUAUGCCACAGAACACCGAUCGCGAAGGCAGCUGGCGAGGCCGGUACUGACGCUCAGGCACGAAAGCGUGGGGAUCAAAC
rnacentral:rRNA from 1 species